UGGGGAAUUUUCCGCAAUGGGCGAGAGCCUGACGGAGCAAGACCGCGUGAGGGAGGAAGGCCUUUGGGUUGUAAACCUCUUUUCUCAGGGAAGAAGAAAGUGACGGUACCUGAGGAAUCAGCCUCGGCUAACUCCGUGCCAGCAGCCGCGGUAAUACGGAGGAGGCAAGCGUUAUCCGGAAUUAUUGGGCGUAAAGCGUCCGUAGGUGGUUUUUCAAGUCCGCUGUCAAAGACCGGAGCUCAACUCCGGAGAGGCAGUAGAAACUGAGGAACUAGAGACCGGUAGGGGUAGAGGGAAUUCCCAGUGUAGCGGUGAAAUGCGUAGAGAUUGGGAGGAACACCAGUAGCGAAGGCGGCUCGCUGGGCCAUUCCUGACGCUGAGACGCGAAAGCGUGGGGAGCAAACAGGAUUAGAUACCCCCGUAGUCC
rnacentral:rRNA from 1 species